GACGAACGCUGGCGGCGUGCUUAACACAUGCAAGUCGAACGAAAAGGCCCUGCUUUUGCGGGGUGCUCGAGUGGCGAACGGGGGAGUAACACGUGAGUAACCUGCCCUUGACUUUGGGAUAACUUCAGGAAACUGGGGCUAAUACCGGAUAGGAUCUCCUGCUGCAUGGUGGGGGUUGGAAAGUUUCGGCGGUUGGGGCUGGACUCGCGGCUUAUCAGCUUGUUGGUGGGGUAGUGGCUUACCAAGGCUUUGACGGGUAGCCGGCCUGAGAGGGUGACCGGGCACAAUGGGCCUGAGGGAGGGAGCAGAAUGCUACGGGAGGCAGCAGUGGGGAAUAUGGCGCAGUGGGCGGAAGCCUGAUGCAGCAACGCCGCGUGCGGGAUAACGGCCUUCGGGUUGUGAACCGCUUUGGCCGGUGAUGAACCGGGAGUGACGGUAAUGGGUAAAGAAGCACCGGCUAACUACGUG
rnacentral:rRNA from 1 species